rnacentral:lncRNA from 1 species
CUGAGCUCAAAGCAGUCCACCCACCUUGGCCUCCCAAAGUGCUGGGAUUACAGGUGUGAGCCAUCUUGCUCAUUCUAGUUUAAACUUUUGAGUGGUUUGUGUCUCCUGAUUGGACUCCUACAAAUACAGAAUUGAUGCUAGGAAGGGUACCAGGAGAUAGACGCACACAGAUGGGAUUUGGGAAUAGGUUUGGUUAUCCAAGGAGCAGUGCUGAGCUCCUUGCUAAUGGGAUAUGGGAGGCUGGUGAUUUCCAGAAAGUGACCUCACAAUGACUCAAGCUACCACAUACUGUUGAUUGUGAAAUGCCAGUUGAAGCAUAUGUCCUGCGAGCUUAGGGGUGCUACAAGUUGACCACAGCAGCAGUAAAGAUGACUCUGAAGAAUGGCAUGGGAUGGAUCCUUUCGAAUGCAUUUGAGCAGCGGUCUCCAACCACAGGGCCACAGAGCUGGAGCUGGAUCUACCAUGAAAGACUUCUGAAUCCAGGAAGAGAGACUGACUGGGCAACAUGUUAUUCAGGGUCUCCCUCUGUUGUCCAAGGCUGGAGUGUAGUAGUGCUA